rnacentral:rRNA from 1 species
CCUACGGGUGGCAGCAGUGGGGAAUAUUGGGCAAUGGGCGCAAGCCUGACCCAGCAACGCCGCGUGAAGGAAGAAGGCUUUCGGGGUGUAAACUUCUUUUAAGAGGGAAGAGCAGAAGAGGGUACCUACUGAGUAAGCCCCGGCUAACUACGUGCCAGCAGCCGCGGAAAUACGUAGGUGGCAAGCGUUAUCCGGAUUUACUGGGUGUAAAGGGCGGGUAGCCGGGCUGACAAGUCAGAGGUGAAAGCCCGUGGCUCAACCAUGGAACUGCAUUGGAAACUGUCGGUCGAGAGUGUCGGAGAGGCAGGCGGAAGUCCUAGUGUAGCGGUGAAAUGCGUAGAUAUUAGGAGGAACACCAGUGGCGAAGGCGGCCUACUGGACGGCAACUGACGGUGAGGCGCGAAAGCGUGGGGAGCAAACAGGAUUAGAUACCCUUGUAGUC